CGGUGCCACUGACAUUUAUUUCAAGCUGGUGUAUGUGAAACCCAACACGGGACAGGGAAUCAUUAUUUAUCAUGACCGGUCGCUGCUGCAGCGUUUGUAGGUUGAGACGUAACACUAACAUCAGACAGCCGUGGUGGCCGCCUGAGUGGACAUAAGUGCUUCGGGCUAGAGGAAAUGAAGUGCAAGGCACAACGAGAGUGCUGGCAGACGUAUCACUGAAGGUAUUCUCGACGCCGGAAGGAGGGCGGAGGAGCCGAUGAAGACCACGAUCGUGAGGCCUUGAAUGCUUGUUUUACACUUCCUGCCAUUAAAUGUUGAGAACUUAA